CUUGAUAAAAGACUACCCAAGAAUGCUACAGACAAAGUUUGGUGAUCAUCCAUCCAUUAGUUCUGUAGAAGAAGAUGUUUAAAGGUUUUUCUAUUUUUAGCUCUGCUGACCCCUAAAAGGGGCUAAUUGUAAUGACAUGAGCAAAUUCAAGUGUGACUGUCACAAGGAUGCUACAGACCAAAUUUGAAGUAAAUCUGCCCAGUAGUUUCAGAGAAGAAGACGAUUGUUGACGCAUGACGACGGACGACGGAGCAUCCCCCUUUGAUACUAAUAGCUCACCCUGAGCCUUCGGCUCUGGUGAGCUAAUAA